rnacentral:rRNA from 1 species
GACGAACGCUGGCGGCGUGCUUAACACAUGCAAGUCGAACGGAAAGGCCCUGCUUUUGUGGGGUGCUCGAGUGGCGAACGGGUGAGUAACACGUGAGUAACCUGCCCUUGACUUUGGGAUAACUUCAGGAAACUGGGGCUAAUACCGGAUAGGAGCUCCUGCUGCAUGGUGGGGGUUGGAAAGUUUCGGCGGUUGGGGAUUGACUCGCGGCUUAUCAGCUUGUUGGUGGGGUAGUGGCUUACCAAGGCUUUGACGGGUAGCCGGCCUGAGAGGGUGACCGGCCACAUUGGGACUGAGAUACGGCCCAGACGCCUACGGGAGGCAGCAGUGGGGAGUAUUGCACAAUGGGCGGAAGCCUGAUGCAGCAACGCCGCGUGCGGGAUGACGGCCUUCGGGUUGUAAACCGCUUUCGCCUGUGACGAAGCGUGAGUGACGGUAAUGGGUAAAGAAGCACCGGCUAACUACGUG